rnacentral:rRNA from 1 species
AUUUUAUGGAGAGUUUGAUCCUGGCUCAGGACGAACGCUGGCGGCGUGCUUAACACAUGCAAGUCGAACGGGGAUUUAGAGGAGCUUGCUUCUCGAAGAUCCCAGUGGCGGACGGGUGAGUAACGCGUGGGCAAUCUGCCCGUAAGAGGGGGAUAACAUCGGGAAACCGGUGCUAAUACCGCAUAAUAUCUGUAUACCGCAUGGUAGGCAGAUUAAAGGAGCGAUCCGCUUACGGAUGAGCCCGCGUCUGAUUAGCUAGUUGGUAGGGUAACGGCCUACCAAGGCGACGAUCAGUAGCCGGCCUGAGAGGGUGACCGGCCACACUGGAACUGAGACACGGUCCAGACUCCUACGGGAGGCAGCAGUGGGGAAUCUUCCGCAAUGGGCGAAAGCCUGACGGAGCAACGCCGCGUGAGCGAAGAAGGCCUUCGGGUUGUAAAGCUCUGUCAUCAGGGAAGAAGAGAGUGACGGUACCUGAGGAGGAAGCCACGGCUAACUACGUGCCAGCAGCCGCGGUAAUACGUAGGUGGCAAGCGUUGUCCGGAAUUACUGGGCGUAAAGAGCGCGUAGGCGGGCGCUUAAGUCAGGGGUGAAAACUGGCAGCUCAACUGCCAGCCUGCCUUUGAGACUGGGCGUCUUGAGGACAGGAGAGGAGAGCGGAAUUCCUAGUGUAGCGGUGAAAUGCGUAGAUAUUAGGAGGAACACCAGUGGCGAAGGCGGCUCUCUGGCCUGUAACUGACGCUGAGGCGCGAAAGCGUGGGGAGCGAACGGGAUUAGAUACCCCGGUAGUCCACGCCGUAAACGAUGGGUACUAGGUGUAGGAGGUAUCGACCCCUUCUGUGCCGUAGUUAACACAAUAAGUACCCCGCCUGGGGAGUACGGCCGCAAGGUUGAAACUCAAAGGAAUUGACGGGGGCCCGCACAAGCGGUGGAGCAUGUGGUUUAAUUCGACGCAACGCGAAGAACCUUACCAGGGCUUGACAUCGAGGGAAGGCUUGUGGAAACAUGAGUCGUCACAAGCUUGCUUGUGACCCGAAGACAGGUGGUGCAUGGUUGUCGUCAGCUCGUGUCGUGAGAUGUUGGGUUAAGUCCCGCAACGAGCGCAACCCUUAUCUUUAGUUGCCAGCACGUGGAGGUGGGCACUCUAGAGAGACUGCCGGUGACAAACCGGAGGAAGGUGGGGAUGACGUCAAAUCAUCAUGCCCCUUAUGUCCUGGGCUACACACGUGCUACAAUGGCCGGUACAAAGGGAAGCGAUGGGGUGACCCGGAGCAAAUCCCAGCAAAGCCGGUCUCAGUUCGGAUUGUAGUCUGCAACUCGACUACAUGAAGUCGGAAUCGCUAGUAAUCGCAGGUCAGCAUACUGCGGUGAAUACGUUCCCGGGCCUUGUACACACCGCCCGUCACACCACGAAAGCCUGCAACACCCGAAGCCGGUGAGCUAACCCGCAAGGGAGGCAGCCGUCGAAGGUGGGGCCGGUGAUUGGGGUGAAGUCGUAACAAGGUAGCCGUAUCGGAAGGUGCGGCUGGAUCACCUCCUUUCU